GUUUCAUCUAAGUAUGUUAUAAGUAGAUAUGUUAAUUACUUCUUCAAUUAAACUUGGAGAGACAUUGGUUGGUGUUCCAUUUUGACCAUUAGUUUUUUUUGGAAAUUUCUGUUUAGAAGAAAAAUACUAAACACUGAAGAAACAAUACUGGCUCAAAAUAAUUGUAUGAAAUAUUAUAAGAGUCAAUUUUUAUUUUAGUUUGUACUAUUUUAGAUCAUUUAUUUAGUGGGAAACAAAUAAAUGUAAGAAAGUACAGGGAAUUUUUUUGAGGUUAGUUUGCAAUAGAUAUAUGUAUAUGAUCUGCUAGUCUAGAUCUGAUAGUUGUGUUUAUGUUACUUUGCAUUUAGUCAUUUCUACACAAAUAUACAGAGCUUCAACAUUGACAUUUCAUUUUAUCACUAGUUAUUCCAAAUGUCACCUGUAUUGUUUAAUAAACAUUUAUAGAUAACAAUAUCAUUAUUCUCAUCAUCAUUUCCAUUGUAAAUAAACAUAUAGUGUUUGAUGUUUGCAUUAAAUUCCACGAUCAAAUUUGUGUUAUUUCAGUGGUAUUAAAAUUACUUUCAAUGAAUGUUAAACAAUAUCAUUUAACCCAUAAAGUUUCAGUUGAUGGAGUUGUCUCCCAUUUGAUGGAUUUAUCUCCCAUUUGAUGGAGUUAUCUCCCAUUUGAUGGAGUUAUCUCCCAUUUGAUUGAGUUAUCUCCAUUAUCAUUGGAAAUUUUUAAAUACACUUAAUAACUGGGAAAUUGCAGUGAUUUAAUAGAAAUGUUUUGAAAGACUUAUUGAGUCCAUGCUAUUCUGCUUUUACAGAUUUUUUUUUUAUUCUGAGUCAAGAUAAGUAGUUUUUUUAGGGCAUUCGGGAAACUCAUUUUUUUAUUAGAUUUGAUAAUUAAGUUUAUAAGGGCAAUAUUUUGUGAUGCAUAUUGUCAUAUGUUAAAGAUUUAUUGCUAGGAACAAAAGCAGAGUAGGUUAUUAUGGUUUUUAGGAUACAUCAAAUUAAAGAUUGAUACAUAGAUGGAAAUACAUCACUGCUUUCUUCAUAUUCAUAUAAAAUUAAUGAAAAAUAUUAUAAGGGAGGUAAAGCAUGUCUAAAGUAGCCUGAUGCCAUAAAACACUAGAUUCUACUAAAGAUGUUUCUCAUUUCUUAAUUUAUAUUGAGUCUUUCUAGGGAAUUAUAUGUUUUUGUUCGAAGCAAAGAAAUUGUAUAGACCUGGAACAUUAUAGGGCAAAAUUUAAAAAAAUCAAAGUAACAACCCUAUUUUUAAACAUUAAACUGUGCAUGAAAUCUUACAACAAAUACUUUACCAAAAUCUCAAUUCAUAGUGAGAAAAUUAAUGAUUAAUGCCAUCAAAUACAGGUCUUUCAAAUUUGUUAAACGGAAUUGAUUGUAAUAAAAUUUGCUUUAAAUUGACUGUAAAUUAAGCGAACAAUUGGUUGACAACAAGUUGAACUGGUCGUUACCCUUUUCCAGUAUGUGUAUUAAAGGAGUACAUGUAUACUGUAGAUUCAUUAUUAUUUUCCUUGGAUACAAAUUUGUGUGGUUUUCAUGGGUACAGGUGAACCAUGAAUUCAAAUGUUCAAUGAAGUACACAGUAUCUAUAGUCUUUGAAUUCAAAGAUUGGCUCAACCACGAAAUCAAAUACCCACGAAAAUACUGGAUUUCCUCAAUCCAUGAAAAUUGAUACCCAUGAAAUAAAUUGAAUCCACGGUACUCCAUUAUAGGAGCAAGAAGAAAUGUCUACAAUAAUAAUCUCAGAAAAUGUACAGCAUAAUCAUAUGAAAUUACUUUUAUUUAUCUUUGAAAAAGUUAUUUAUACAGCCUGAUUUUCUGCCAUAGUAGGAACACAAUUGUAUAGUUAUGAUUUAUGCCAUAGUAGAAAUAAUAUUGUAAAAUUACUAUGAUUUUUGCCAUAGUAGGAGGAAAUUUUAUAAUUACUAUGAUUUACGCCAUAGAAGGACAAAUAUUUUAUAAUUACUACCCAUAGUUUGUAUUGUUCAUUGUCCCACAUGAGUCGUUGUGAUGAUUUUUUUUACAAAUUGUACAUUUAUCAUGUAUCAUAUACCAUAUUAAAUAUGUAUUUGUUGUAUACUUAGUUCACGAAUCAAACAUUUUGUUUUUAUAUCUGUAAUAUUAUCAAGGAAAUCAUUUUAGAUGUGUAAAAAUUGGUAGAACAAUAGUAGUAUUGGCUUGAUAGAAAAAUUCUUGAUUUUAGAGUUUACAACUAUUUGUUUGUUGAACACUGAACCUUCUUCAUCAGUAAAGUAUUCUGGGUGAAAGAUUGUUUUGUAAAAUUGUCAAAAUUAUUGAGGAACUUGAAGUGAACAAGGGAUUCAUGUAAAAACCUUCUGUUUUAGGGGUUUGGUUAUAUAUGUCUGAGUUUUAGAGCAUGUAAAGCUUUAUUAGAAUUACAAUAAUGAGCUGCUUAGGAAUUUAGGAUCUCCUCCAUUUACUUAGUAACACUUUAAAACCAUGAGGUCCAAAUUUGAAUGAUGCAAUGUUUUGAAAAAGCAAGAAAGAAGAAUUAUUCAGUAAUAGAUUUUGAAAAAAUUUACGUAGUUAAAAUUUAAUUUAAUAUUCUCAUUGUUUUUCCCAUUGAUAAAAACAAAAUGAUAACCAAAGUUAUAAUAUUAUAAUUCUAAAUUCCAUAAACAAGGAUGUAAGAAACAGGACUUAUACAAUCCUAACAGGGUUUGUAUUGCUGGUGUGUUAUAAAUACUUCCAACUGAAAGGAGAAGAUUCGGAGUUCAACAAACAAAGGUUGAUUUUUCGUAUUGAUAUUCAGUCUGAAUUUACUUGCUUCACUAAGGGAAAUAACAUUCCACUUAUAUAUUUUAUCUGUUUUUUCUUCAUUCCUUUACAAAUGCUUAAAGAUAUACUUCUUAUUGUUACAUAGCUUUAGAAAUUCACCUAAUUUUCUACACUUGAAUAAAUAGUAUUUUCCUAGUACCUGUUAUUUUUUUUGCCAGUGUCACUGUGUUAUUUUAAUGCUGUAUGUUUUGUUUAGUUUCAAAAGAUAUCAAAAACUUAUUCAAACUUGUGUGUCGAAAACAAACUAACGAUGGCAUGACAAAAAUCCCAAAACAGUCAAAAGAUAAGCAAGUAUAUACAAAAGUAACAAAACAUAGAAAAUCUAAAGAGUGCAACAAAAACUAAAAACCUGAGAUGAUCUCAUGUGUUCCUGAAGGUUAAUCACACCUGGCUUUUUUGUGACACCAGUUCAUUUUCUGUGUUGUCCUGUGACAAUUUUCUGUCUAGACUUUUUUUUUGAACCAUCUGAUAUACUAGCUGGUUAUCUUAUGUCAUAGAUUCGAGUAAAACCUGUACACAUGUAUACUUUGAUUCCUAACCUCCAGGAUAACAUCCAAUCAAAUUGAAGUAUAAGGUCUAACUCCGCCUAUUCAUAUUGUUUACAGAUGAUAAUCUUAAUGACAAUGCUUGAACAAACAUUUAUACAACACAAAGCAAACUAG
rnacentral:lncRNA from 1 species